AACGAACGCUGGCGGCAUGCCUAACACAUGCAAGUCGAACGGAUGGUCGCAAGACCAUUAGUGGCGGACGGGUGCGUAACGCGUGGGAACCUGCCUUGAAGUUCGGAAUAACUGCGGGAAACUGCAGCUAAUACCGGAUGUGGCCUGCGGGCCAAAGGGGAAACUCGCUUCAAGAGGGGCCCGCGUCCGAUUAGCUAGUUGGCGGGGUAACGGCCCACCAAGGCGAUGAUCGGUAGCUGGCUGAGAGGACGACCAGCCACACUGGAACUGAGAUACGGUCCAGACUCCUACGGGAGGCAGCAGUGGGGAAUAUUGGUACAAUGGGGGCGAACCCUGAUCCAGCAAUGCCGCGUGAGUGAUGAAGG
rnacentral:rRNA from 1 species